AUAUUCCAAAAUUCGACGGAUUAUUCGAAGAAAAAAUUCAGACGCGAAUGUAGUAGCAGCAGGCACAGAAAUGGAGGGCAGAAUUUCAUGGAAGACGACGACAAUUCCAACGACACGACACGACACGACACGACACGAUACGAAGCCUAGAGUCCAAUGAACGUAUGCACUCACGCACUUACGCACGCACUCAUACACCCACACACUUUUUUUUGCUACUUCAGAAAGCAAUAGUAAAAAACACAUCAGACACUACCACCACUAUCACUACUACCACCACCACCACUUUUGGCACAUAAUAAUAUUAUCAUCAUUAUCAUCAUCACAAAACACGCGCGAGAAAAACACAAAGAGAGGAGAGUCCAUUUCUUUUUUUUUUUAUUCCUGUAUUUACUGACACACGUAGUACUUGUUGCAAAUCUUGUAAGAUAAUACACGAGAGUUCCUCUCUCUCUCUCUCUCUCUCUCUCACUCACGUCAAUAAAAGUAUGUUUUUUCUCAGACGUCUUCCUUAGUCUGGACGGAUGAUCCGCGACGGAAUUUAAUUGCAAGCGCACGACAACGAAGUAGACGACGACGGAACGUGGCGUACAAACAAACGUGGUGGUGGUGGUGGUGCUGCUGCUGAGAGUACCAACAACAGAAAGACGACGACGGUGUGAGCAGCGGCGAGCAUGGGAGAGAAGAAGAAGAAGAAGAAGAAGAAGAAGAAGAAAUGGUCAAGGUGGGAGACGUACAGAUAGAUGGAUAGAGAGUUGGGAUGUGAGGAGUAUAAAGUCACUGAUGAAAAACUAUGAUGAUGAUGAUGAUAAUGAUGACGAUGAUGAUGACUAGGAGAAGAAGAAGGAAGAGGAAGAGAAGAAAAAGGAGGAGGAGGAGGAGGAGGAGAAAGAGGAGGAGGUGGAGGAGAAAAAGACGACGGCAACGACGACACAACCAUACCACGAAACACGCACCUAGCAAGACUCGAGAACACUGAGGGCGAGCACGCGACUGCAGCGCCACGAGGCGCCACUUGUACACGUUAACGACCACGGGACGAUGCUCCGUUGGCCGUGGUUGCGUUACGCGGUGGGGAGUGGGAGGUAGGUGGGGGGAACAAACUCCAUUCGUCCUAACUCUCCCCUCCCCUCUACAUAACAAUAAGGGUGCACAUUUCUCUUUCGAUAUCAUCCCAUUAUCUACCACUACGAUAUUAUAAUAUUGUAAAUUAUAAAAUUGUUUUGAUAAAAGUCACGUGUUAUUUCUAACAAUUUCUAACAACACACUAAAGUUAAUUUCUUGAUAAAAAAAGAAGAAAACAAAAAAGUACUUUAUUUUCGUUCAUUGAAUUUUUGUUAUGAUUCCUCCCACCACCACCUAAAUCAAAACAAAAUCUAUAUUUAUCGGAAGUUACCACGAAGGAAGUAUAUAUUACGAAAAGAACGAUCGAUAGAAGUCAUUCGAUUAGUUCUUUUUUUUUUCUUUUUUACGAUCGAUUCUAAAUACUUGCAGCUCGAGAUUGAGUUGUUUUUUUUCUUUUUUUGGUCAGAAGUAGCAGCAGCAACAGCAGCACACACUGUCUUGUGUUGUUUCUUUUUUUUAUUAACUAUCGAAACUUUCAUUUUGUACAAUCGAUGAAAACAGAGAUCAUAGGGAGAAGAACAGCUGGAUAGGAGAGAGGAAUCUAUGGAGGAACACGUUAGAAUUGAAAAGACGACGCGUUAUGGGGAGUGACGUGUUGCACGUGGUAUUUCCGAAGCGUCUAGACUCGCUAAUUUAAACCGACUCUCACGAAUCCACACACACACACACACACACAAACAGUUAGAGGACAACCAACGUUGUCCAACUAAACCAGUUGAACUAUGAGAAACAAUACUCGUUGUCCAUGCUCAAUUUUUCAUGGUUUUUUUUUUGUUCUUUUCUUAUAGGUAAAAGUAAUAUUAUUUCGAUGUACCUUUUCAAAUGUAUUUGUUGUUUUACAGGUAUAACUCGUUUGUUGAUUAAAAUUCUAGAAAAUUAUUCGACUAUGCAGAAAGUGUCUGAGGGUAGUUUUUGUUUUUUUCAUUGCUCAUGUUCUUAUAAGAUAAAUUUUAAUUACGCAUCAUCAACACGAUUUAGCAACGAUCGGGUGACGACGCUGCUGCUGGCUGGUGGUGUUAGCGUAAUUAAGAAAAAAAAAAAAAAAAA